UACGUAGGGGGCAAGCGUUGUCCGGAAUCAUUGGGCGUAAAGCGCGUGUAGGCGGCCAUCCAAGUCUGAUGUGAAAGCUCGGGGCUCAACCCCGAGUCUGCAUUGGAAACUGUAUGGCUUGAGUCCGGAAGAGGAGACUGGAAUUCCUGGUGUAGCGGUGAAAUGCGCAGAUAUCAGGAAGAACACCGGUGGCGAAGGCGGGUCUCUGGGACGGUACUGACGCUGAGACGCGAAAGCGUGGGGAGCAAACAGGAUUAGAUACCCUGGUAGUCCACGCCGUAAACGAUGGGCACUAGGUGUGGGAGGUGUCGACUCCUUCCGUGCCGUAGCUAACGCAUUAAGUGCCCCGCCUGGGGAGUACGGCCGCAAGGCUAAA
rnacentral:rRNA from 1 species